UCUUUAGCGAGUUGAAGAAGGUAAGCUCAUUCUUCGUGUGAUACCAGUUGUAAUCCACGCCGAAGGCAUAAACCUCGUAGUUUUCAUUUAAGACGGCCUUGUUAUUCGUCUCAGUGAGGUUCACGUUCCAAUUCCACUGAGAUUCGAAAAUUUGGAGGGGCACAGAGAUGAAAUCGUUGUAGAUAGCCCCGCAGUAGAAGGCGAAGAAACCCAUAAG
rnacentral:ribozyme from 12 species